AUUGAACGCUGGCGGCAGGCCUAACACAUGCAAGUCGAACGAUUGGCGGACGGGUGAGUAAUGUCUGGGAAACUGCCCGAUGGAGGGGGAUAACUACUGGAAAAGGUAGCUAAUACCGCAUACCAUCGGAUUUGCAUAGAUGGGAUAAGCUAGUGGGUGGGGUAACGGCUCACCUAGGCGACGAUCCCUAGCUGGUCUGAGAGGAUGACGUGCCAGACUGGAACUGAGACACGGUCCAGACGCCUACGGGAGGCAGCAGUGGGGAAUAUUGCACAAUGGGCGCAAGCCUGAUGCAGCCAUGCCGCGAGUAUGAAGAAGGCCUUCGGGUUGUAAAGUACUGUCAGCGAGGAGGCGUUACUCGCAGAAGAAGCACCGGCUAACUCCGUGCCAGCAGCCGCGGUAAUUC
rnacentral:rRNA from 1 species